AUGAAUUAUCAUCAGUCUUAUGUAUUUUCUCCAAGACCUGUCAAAUUCUUUUCACCGUUGGCUCAACCUUUCUAUUCGUCAUCCCGGAGUAUCUCAACUGUUCAUGGUGGUGUUUCUCUUUGUCAUUCUCAACACUUGAAGACCGAAGAAGAGUUUUUCCUCCAUAUCUUAUCCGUUCACUCAGAGAUUUGUGGUUCUAGUUUGAGGCCAUCCUCUCAUAAUAGUUUUGAUUGUGGGAAUUCUUUUCAUCCAUCCGGAGCAUUUCAUGAGUUGUUUUCUCUUUUCUUUCCUCUGGAGCCCAUCAUUUCAGAAGAAUUAAUCAUUUCAGCUUCCAGCUCUCGUUUCUCCAAAUCUUACCGGUCCAUCAUCCAAGUAUUCUCUAAUCAGCUCGGGAUCUCUUCGUUUCGCUUGUAUCUAAAAAAUUCUCUCAAGUAUCUUCAUUCAUUUCCCAAUUAUUCCCGGUGA
rnacentral:rRNA from 1 species